rnacentral:rRNA from 1 species
GAUGAACGCUGGCGGCGUGCCUAAUACAUGCAAGUCGAGCGAACGGGCGAGAAGCUUGCUUCUCUGAUGUUAGCGGCGGACGGGUGAGUAACACGUGGAUAACCUACCUAUAAGACUGGGAUAACUUCGGGAAACCGGAGCUAAUACCGGAUGAUAUUUUGAACCGCAUAGUUCAAAAGUGAAAGACGGUCUUGCUGUCACUUAUAGAUGGAUCCGCGCUGCAUUAGCUAGUUGGUAAGGUAACGGCUUACCAAGGCAACGAUGCAUAGCCGACCUGAGAGGGUGAUCGGCCACACUGGAACUGAGACACGGUCCAGACUCCUACGGGAGGCAGCAGUAGGGAAUCUUCCGCAAUGGGCGAAAGCCUGACGGAGCAACGCCGCGUGAGUGAUGAAGGUCUUCGGAUCGUAAAACUCUGUUAUUAGGGAAGAACAUAUGUGUAAGUAACUGUGCACAUCUUGACGGUACCUAAUCAGAAAGCCACGGCUAACUACAUG